CGCCUCUUGAUAAAAUAUAAGAGGUCUAGCCUGCCCAGUGACUCUGUUUAACGGCCGCGGUAUCCUAACCGUGCGAAGGUAGCGUAAUCACUUGUUCUUUAAAUGAGGACUAGUAUGAAUGGCACCACGAGGGUUAUACUGUCUCCUUUCUCUAAUCAGUGAAACUAAUCUUCCCGUGAAGAAGCGGGAAUGAAACUAUAAGACGAGAAGACCCUAUGGAGCUUUAAACAAAAUAACAAUUGCUUAUUUAUUACUAAAUUCCAGAAAUUUAAAUAUUAUCAAAGCACUCUGAUUAUUAGUUUUAGGUUGGGGUGACCGCGGAGUAAAAAUUAACCUCCACAUUGAAAGGAUUCUUUUCCUAAGCAAAAAGCUACGACUUUAUGCAUCAAUAAAUUGACAUUAAUUGACCCAAUAUUUUGAUCAACGAACCAAGUUACCCUAGGGAUAACAGCGCAAUCCACUUCAAGAGCCCCUAUCGACAAGUGGGUUUACGACCUCGAUGUUGGAUCAGGGUGUCCCGGUGGUGCAGCCGCUACCAAAGGUUCGUUUGUUCAACGAUUAAAACCCUACGUGAUCUGAGUUCAGACCGGAGUAAUCCAGGUCAGUUUCUAUCUAUAAGGAGCUUUUCCCAGUACGAAAGGAUCGGAAAAGCAUGGCCAAUACCCAAUGCAAGCCAUCACUACUAAUUUAUGCUUUAAACUUAAUUAACAAUUAGCCCAAAACUUUCCUCUAGAAAAGAGAA
rnacentral:rRNA from 1 species